AAAUCAGUUUAACUUUGAUAAAUAUAAUUCUGCCUUUAAUAUAUGCUAUUAUAUUGUAUAUUAUAACAAUAAAUCAUCUGAAUAUUAUUAAGUGUUUAAGAUGAGCCAUUACAUGGCCGACAGGCACUGAUGGGUAGUUUGGUGAUAAUGAAGCCUGUCAGGUCACACUGAGUGAAAUUCUGUGUCUGCUGUCAAACUUCAGAUAUGCCGGUACUGAAGCCCUCGGUGACAGUGUACCAAGCAGCAUCCAGUGAUCAUCUGGAGGAGAAGAGAUCCCUGCUGUGUGUGGCCUCACAAAUGGUUCCUCCUGUGGUCCAGAUCACCUGGAAAAGGCAGGAGCAGGACGGAUCUUCGCUGGCAUUGACCCCUGGUGGCACAGAACAGCUGGACGUCAUAGAGUCCGAUUACACUGCCAGCAUCUUGUUGAUCCAUCAGCGAGACGAGAACUCACAUACAUAUGACUGUUCUGUCACACACGAGGGGGGGACGGUGGAGCAACAAAUAGAGGAAGGAGUUUCUCAAAGUCCACCAAAAGAACUUCCACCAGAUACACUUUCCACCAAUCAAACUUUAACAGAACGUCCAUCAUCAGAACAUCCUGUGUCUCAAAAACAAGUAAAACUGCUCUGCCUGGUGUACACGGUGCUGAUCACGAAGAGUCUGGUGUACUGCUGUGGAGUCUUUCUGCUCAGGCUCGUCAGACGCAACUGCAAACACGCAGCUGACUGACUGUUUCCUUCUUCUUGGCUUAUCGCUUUUUAUAUCAUUUAUCACUCAGGAUUUAGAAAAAUCUGUAACAGUGCAGCAUUUUGGCUGUUUUUUUACUUUCUUUUUUAUUUCAAUAUUAAAAAAGAGCUGAAACAGAAAAGGCUGAAUUAUUAGCUCCCUAGUAGAUAAUUCAUCAUUUAUAGCAUUUGUUUAAUUAAAACAAAGUGUUGCCUGCUCUUCAAAGUAUUUCUCUGCAAUAUUCCAAAUAAAGCAAACAAAAAAAUC